AUACGUAGGGUGCGAGCGUUGUCCGGAAUUACUGGGCGUAAAGAGCUCGUAGGUGGGUUGUCGCGUCGUCUGUGAAAUUCCGGGGCUUAACUCCGGGCGUGCAGGCGAUACGGGCAUAACUUGAGUACUGUAGGGGAGACUGGAAUUCCUGGUGUAGCGGUGAAAUGCGCAGAUAUCAGGAGGAACACCGGUGGCGAAGGGGGGUCUCUGGGCAGUAACUGACGCUGAGGAGCGAAAGCAUGGGUAGCGAACAGGAUUAGAUACCCUGGUAGUCCAUGCCGUAAACGGUGGGCGCUAGGUGUAGGGGUCUUCCACGACUUCUGUGCCGUAGCUAACGCAUUAAGCGCCCCGCCUGGGGAGUACGGCCGCAAGGCUAAAACUCAAAGGAAUUGGCGGGG
rnacentral:rRNA from 1 species